rnacentral:rRNA from 1 species
UACGGGGGGGGCAAGCGUUGUUCGGAAUUACUGGGCGUAAAGGGCUCGUAGGUGGCCAACUAAGUCGGACGUGAAAUCCCUCAGCUUAACUGGGGAACUGCGUCCGAUACUGGAUGGCUCGAGUUUGGGAGAGGGAUGCGGAAUUCCAGGUGUAGCGGUGAAAUGCGUAGAUAUCUGGAGGAACACCGGUGGCGAAGGCGGCGUUCUGGACUGUCUCUGACACUGAAGAACGAAAGCCAGGGGAGCAAACGGG